CUCGAGGCCAGAUCUUUCCGGUUGAUCCUGCCGGACCUGACUGCUAUCGGAUUGAUACUAAGCCAUGCGAGUCUUUGUAGCAAUACAAGGCAGACGGCUCAGUAACACGUAGUCAAUCUACCCUAUGGACGGGGAUAACCUCGGGAAACUGAGAAUAAUACCCGAUAGAUCAUUAUGCCUGGAAUGGUUUAUGGUCGAAAUGAUUUAUCGCCGUAGGAUGGGACUGCGGUCUAUCAGCUUGUUGGUGAGGUAAUGGCCCACCAAGGCUAUAACAGAUACGGGCUCUGAGAGGAGAAGCCCGGAGAUGGGUACUGAGACACGGACCCAGGCCCUAUGGGGCGCAGCAGGCGAGAAAACUUUGCAAUGUGCGAAAGCACGACAAGGUUAAUCCGAGUGUUUUCUGCUAAAGAAAUCUUUUGUCAGUCCUAAAAACACUGAUGAAUAAGGGGUGGGCAAGUUCUGGUGUCAGCCGCCGCGGUAAAACCAGCACCUCAAGUAGUCAGGAGGAUUAUUGGGCCUAAAGCAUCCGUAGCCGGCCGUGUAAGUUUUCGGUUAAA
rnacentral:rRNA from 1 species